rnacentral:rRNA from 1 species
CCUAGGGGUGGCUGCAGUGAGGAAUAUUGGACAAUGGGCGAAAGCCUGAUCCAGCCAUGCCGCGUGUGUGAAGAAGGCCUUCGGGUUGUAAAGCACUUUCAGUGGGGAAGAAAGCCUUGGGGCUAAUACCCUCGAGGAAGGACAUCACCCACAGAAGAAGCACCGGCUAACUCCGUGCCAGCAGCCGCGGUAAUACGGAGGGUGCGAGCGUUAAUCGGAAUUACUGGGCGUAAAGCGCGCGUAGGCGGUCUGAUAAGCCGGUUGUGAAAGCCCCGGGCUCAACCUGGGAACGGCAUCCGGAACUGUCAGGCUAGAGUGCAGGAGAGGAAGGUAGAAUUCCCGGUGUAGCGGUGAAAUGCGUAGAGAUCGGGAGGAAUACCAGUGGCGAAGGCGGUCUUCUGGACUGACACUGACGCUGAGGUGCGAAAGCGUGGGUAGCAAACAGGAUUAGAUACCCUUGUAGUC